AAAUUGAAGAGUUUGAUCAUGGCUCAGAUUGAACGCUGGCGGCAGGCCUAACACAUGCAAGUCGAACGGUAACAGAAAGCAGCUUGCUGCUUUGCUGACGAGUGGCGGACGGGUGAGUAAUGUCUGGGAAACUGCCUGAUGGAGGGGGAUAACUACUGGAAACGGUAGCUAAUACCGCAUAACGUCGCAAGACCAAAGAGGGGGACCUUAGGGCCUCUUGCCAUCGGAUGUGCCCAG
rnacentral:rRNA from 1 species